UACAGUAUCAGUUUUAGAGACAUCAAAAGCAGGUGAAUACAUAUGUACAUACAAAAAUGCACAUACAGAUUCUUUAUGCACUAUAGUACAGGUAUGACAAAUAAAAAGAAGCUCACUCAUACAAAGGCUUUUAUUGUAUAAACAAUUCAAUAAAAUGACGCAUCACUCACGAAUGCUCGCCAUUUUGCAAAAGGGGUAUAAAAAUAAAGAACAGAUUCAUAUUAUAUACAAAUGUAGAUGCUAUUGACUCAACCCAUCCCUGUGGGGAAACGCACUAGCGCCGAACUGGUUCGGUACUAGAGAAUUUAAAACCAUGAAUAUUGCACGUUAAUUCCCUUUUUUUAAAUAAAAAUAAAUAAGGAAACAUAAGUUGCCAAAAACAUCAUUUUAAAUUUUGCUGCUUUUAUUUUAAUUGCAGCUAUUUGUACUUACCCAGUGCAUUACAUACGUGAUAAAUAAUGUAGUGCAUUUCUUAUGGUUGUUAGAAUCUAUUACUGUUUAAUAUAUAAACAGAAUUCUAAUGUAUCCAGAAAGCAUAUAUUCCUCGUUUACUAGGUAAUGCAAAAUUGAAUGCCGCACAUUUUUAAAAAAUCGUCGUGGGAAAAAUAUUAGAACGCCUACAAUACAUUACAUCUUCCCACUGGUCAACAUUAUUUUUCGAAGUGCGUCGCCAAUUAUAAUCAAACAGUAGCGGUGAUUGCAAGUGGUAGCGGCUAAGAAGCGCUUGCUGUGAAAUAGUGUAGAAAAAUAAUAUUAAAAGU